rnacentral:misc_RNA from 1 species
GAUGAAGAACGUAGCGAAAUGCGAUAAGUAAUGUGAAUUGCAGAAUUCAGUGAAUCAUCGAAUCUUUGAACGCACAUUGCGCCCGCCAGUAUUCUGGCGGGCAUGCCUGUCUGAGCGUCAUUUCAACCCUCAUGCCCCUAGGGCGUGGUGUUGGGGAUCGGCCAAAGCCCGCGAGGGACGGCCGGCCCCUAAAUCUAGUGGCGGACCCGUCGUGGCCUCCUCUGCGAAGUAGUGAUAUUCCGCAUCGGAGAGCGACGAGCCCCUGCCGUUAAACACCCAACUUUCCAAGGUUGACCUCAGAUCAGGUAGGAAUACCCGCUGAACUUAAGCAUAUCAAUAAGCGGAGGA